GAGAUUCCAUCAAUGGGAGUAGUCUGUUGCUGAGAGGGAUCCUGAAAGAUAGGGGGACAGAGACACACUGGAAGGAUCCACAUAAUGAGGAAGCAGCUGAGAACAAAGGAGCCCCUGCCAGAGGAAUAUCCUUGGGGGGUAAAAAGCUGACUCUGCCCUUUCUCCCCAGCCCAUUCAUCCCAGCCCAGACAAUUCAAAUCUACCUUCUAUCAGGACCUAGAAAGGAUGUAAAAUGGCCGGGUAUAAAUAUCCCCUGGGUCUGGGGAAACUGUCAGGAGCAGUGACAUCACAGGAAAAACCACCGACCAAGGCCAAGGAGACCAGAGCCCAGCACCUCACCCAGAGGACCCCAGUCAGAGGCCCCAUCUCAGACCCGAGGCUAGCAUGGGCUGCAGGCUGCUCUGCUGUGCGGUUCUCUGUCUCCUGGGAGCGGUCCCCAUGGAAAUGGGAGUUACGCAGACACCAAGACACCUGGUCAUGGGAAUGACAAAUAAGAAGUCUUUGAAAUGUGAACAACAUCUGGGUCAUAACGCUAUGUAUUGGUACAAGCAAAGUGCUAAGAAGCCACUGGAGCUCAUGUUUGUCUACAGUCUUGAAGAACGGGUUGAAAACAACAGUGUGCCAAGUCGCUUCUCACCUGAAUGCCCCAACAGCUCUCACUUAUUCCUUCACCUACACACCCUGCAGCCAGAAGACUCGGCCCUGUAUCUCUGUGCCAGCAGCCAAGACACAGCCUUGCAGAGUCACAGCUUUCCUGUGCAGAAACCUUAGGGGCCCUCCAGGAAGCUGUGG